GACGAACGCUGGCGGCGUGCCUAAUACAUGCAAGUAGAACGCAGUUGCGAACGGGUGAGUAACGCGGAGGUAACUGCUACAUAGCGGGGGAGAAGUAUUGGAAACGAUAGCUAAUACCGCAUACUGCGAGAUGGACCUGCGUUGUAUUAGCUAGUUGGUGAGGUAAAGGGCCACCAAGGCGACGAUACAUAGCCGACCCGAGAGGGUGAGCGGCCACACUGGGACUGAGACCCGGCCCAGACUCCUACGGGAGGCAGCAGUAGGGAAUCUUCGGCAAUGGACGGAAGACUGACCGAGCAACGCCGCGUGAGUGAAGAAGGUUUUCGGAUCGUAAAGCUCUGUUGUUAGAGAAGCGGUACCUAACCAGAAAGGGACGGCUAACUACGUGCCAGCAGCCGCGGUAAUUC
rnacentral:rRNA from 1 species